rnacentral:rRNA from 1 species
GAUGAACGCUGGCGGCGUGCCUAAUACAUGCAAGUCGAGCGAACGGACGAGAAGCUUGCUUCUCUGAUGUUAGCGGCGGACGGGUGAGUAACACGUGGAUAACCUACCUAUAAGACUGGGAUAACUUCGGGAAACCGUAGCUAAUACCGGAUAAUAUUUUGAACCGCAUGGUUCAAAAAUGAAAGACGGUCUUGCUGUCACUUAUAGAUGGAUCCGCGCUGCAUUAGCUAGUUGGUAAGGUAACGGCUUACCAAGGCAACGAUGCAUAGCCGACCUGAGAGGGUGAUCGGCCACACUGGAACUGAGACACGGUCCAGACUCCUACGGGAGGCAGCAGUAGGGAAUCUUCCGCAAUGGGCGAAAGCCUGACGGAGCAACGCCGCGUGAUUGAUGAAGGUCUUCGGAUCGUAAAACUCUGUUAUUAGGGAAGAACAUAUGUGUAAGUAACUGUGCACAUCUUGACGGUACCUAAUCAGAAAGCCACGGCUAACUACGUG